rnacentral:rRNA from 1 species
UAACCGGGUAAGCCCCCAGGUUGACGACCUGGUUGAUAGGCCGGAGGUGUAAGCGCCGCAAGGCGUUGAGCUGACCGGUACUAAUCGGGCGAGGGCUUGAUGCCCCCUU